UACGGAGGAUCCGAGCGUUAUCCGGAUUUAUUGGGUUUAAAGGGAGCGUAGGUGGAUUGUUAAGUCAGUUGUGAAAGUUUGCGGCUCAACCGUAAAAUUGCAGUUGAAACUGGCAGUCUUGAGUACAGUGGAGGUGGGCGGAAUUCGUGGUGUAGCGGUGAAAUGCUUAGAUAUCACGAAGAACUCCGAUUGCGAAGGCAGCUCACUGGACUGCAACUGACACUGAGGCUCGAAAGUGUGGGUAUCAAACAGG
rnacentral:rRNA from 1 species